UGACGGAGCAUGCCGCGUGAGGGAUGAAGGCCUCUGGGCUGUAAACCUCUUUUAUCAAGGAAGAAAAUCUGACGGUACUUGAUGAAUAAACCACGGCUAAUUCCGUGCCAACAGCCGCGGUAAUACGGGAGUGGCAAGCGUUAUCCGGAAUUAUUGGGCGUAAAGCGUCCGCAGGCGGCCCUUCAAGUCUGCUGUUAAAAAGUGGAGCUUAACUCCAUCAUGGCAGUGGAAUCUGUUGGGCUUGAUUGUGGUAGGGGCAUAGGGAAUUCCCGGUGUAGCGGUGAAAUGCGUAGAUAUCGGGAAAAACACCAGUGGCAAAUGCGCUCUGCUGGGCCAUCACUGACGCUCAUGGACGAAAGCCAGGGGAGCGAAAGGGAUUAGAUACCCCUGUAGUCCUGGCCGUAAACGAUGAACACUACGUGUCGGGGGAAUCGACCCCCUCGGUGUCGUAGCCAACGCGUUAAGUGUUCCGCCUGGGGAGUACGCACGCAAGUGUGAAACUCAAAGGAAUUGACGG
rnacentral:rRNA from 1 species